AUGCCCUGAUCCUUAGAGGCAGAGGCAGCUCUUCAGCCUAUGGGGAAUCCUGUCUACUGUGUGCCUGAUGACAUGAACUUACUGAGUGCUGCUUAGUUGCAUCAUAGACACCACCUGUCUUUGAACAGCUACCCUGACUCUUGAUGGAAUGCAAAGGCUGCCAGGGGCCACUGCUGAAGCUCUUGGACUCACUGAGGCAGUAAAAGUACCAUAUCCUGUGUUUGAAUCAAACCCCGAGUUCCUGUGUGUAGAAGGUUUGCCAGACAGGAUUCCCUUUUGAAGCCCUCCUGGUUUGGAAUUCCAUGACUUGAAAGGAUCGUCCGUGGGAGUAAUAAAAUCAAGUUUGUUGGUAAAAAGUAAGUUUUAGGCCAGGUGUGGUGGCUCAUGUUUGUAAUCCCAGCACUUUGGGAGGCUGAGGCGGGCAGAUCACCUGAGGUCCGGAGUUCGAGACCAGCCUGGCAGACAUGGGAAAACCCCGUAUCCACUAAAAAUACAAAGAAUUAGCCGAGCACGGUGGCGGGCACCUGUGAUCCCAGCUACUUGGGAGACUGAAGCAGGAGAAUCACUUGAACCUGGGAGGCAGAGGCUGCAGUGAGCCAAGAUCACAACACUGCACUCCAGCCUGGGUGACAGAGUGAGACUCUGCCUCAACAACAACAACAAUAAAAAGUAAGUUCUAUUUGCCACUGUCGUCAUUUCUGGAAUUAAAACAAUAAAAUGACAUUUCUACUAAAAUGUUUUUCUAGCUAGAGGUGACAGUUGUGGCUGUAAGUCCUUGAUGGAAAAGCCUGGCUCUGAGCCGCAGUCCUGGCACUCUCCAUUGCCCCUGCC
rnacentral:lncRNA from 1 species